AUUCCCUCUAUGUGUUUUUUCUUUGAUAACCACUGUCUGUUCUUAUUAGCUUAUUAUGUGAUACGGAUUCUAUUUGUAUCCAAGAUAAUAAAGUUAUUUUUGCGAAGCGGAGCAGUGCUUGAAGCUUGUGUGAACUCCGGCACGGGUUGGCCCGGUAUUGCACUAUCUCUGGGAUCGGCCCGCUGGCU